CUAUAACAAUGAUGAGCCAUUGCAAAAAUUACAACCCAGAACAUAUAAACCAUAUUGCUUGUGAUGAUAACAAAAGAAAAUGAUCAAUUACUAGAUCAAAAAGGCACCCUAUUCAAAGCUCGUAUUCCCAACAGUCUCAGGAAAUUCACUCAACAGGUGAACUAGAUGAAGUAAUUUGAAUUUAACAUAUACAAAGGAUUUCUGUUCUUUGUGAGGGAUGAUUGAUGCCAACAAAUUGUGUAAGUAAACAAUGCAUAAACAAAUUGAUGUAAAAACAAACCUGCAGCAUUCGCCAUGGAGAAUCAGGCCACCGUAUAGGAUCAGCUGCCUGGAUAGAAGAUACAGUUCCCAUGAACCAGCUUAUUCGAGAUGAAUCCUCAGUUUCAAAAGGCAUCUUGAAUCUCAUAGCAGAAUACCAGUGAAUUUGCAUUGCAGAUCUUAAACUAGAGGCCUUAACAACAAACUCUGGAGUACCAGCACAUGGGUAGUACACAAUCUCAAAGGACUGGCCACUGGCCGCAAGCAUUGCAGCUUCAAUGACAGAUUCGACCUUCACUCUCCCGCUCAGAUUCCCAUUUGAGUUUCUUCUCCCCAAUCUACCUUCACUCUCCCUCAUAUAAUCUGAAUACCCCACAAGUGAAGAGCCUGAAUUAGUUGGGUUCCAGCCAGGUGAGUAAUCAAUUCCACAACCAAUUCCCCUCUUGGCUCGUCUAACUCCAAUACACAGAUCGCCAGUUUCUGCCCUCAAGAAAACAAUCGAGUCCCCAGCAACAAGUUUCUUCUGAUUUACAAAACUACUCCACCCAGUCGUCAAAAGAUGACGACGUGGUGUUCCUCUAUAUAUAUGCCUAAACUUCCAAAUCUCACCAUGAACAUCCUUGGCAAGAAUAGUCUGAACAGGAGGCUCUACCGAGUAAUCCAACCGAGGAAAGAUUGUCUCAGCGCAAUAACGAGGCACAGAGAACCCUCCACCAUUGUUUGCAUCAGAUUGUGUCAAUGUCUUUGCAAACGAGGUAGGUUUAUCCUGACUCUUAAGUUCAUUGUGAAUUAGUAAAUCAUCCUCAUUAUCCAAAUUGAAUUCGUUGUUCGCCAGUGGACUCAACUUUAUCUUGGCAAAAACCUCAUCAGUUUCAGGAUCUGCCAUAUGUCUUAUGCCAGAUACCCUGCAAGGAAUGAUUGAAGGAAUUCGAGCAUUCCCAAAAUCGACAUUUCCCUGGGCAUGCUCAGUGUGGCCCUGAGGGAAAUAAACUACCUUUGAGUUAAUAGUAGGCAAUUGAAUCAGCCCACCGGCACAGGCAUGCCAUAGCUGAGAAUCUAAAUGCUUGUCAUGGUUCAUCAUUGGAUCAAUCACUGAAUCCAUUCCUCUAGUCGUAAUAAAACCAAAAGGUCCUCCAAGUCACAGAAACAACUCUUCCUUCCUUAUUGAUUCUCAAUCAAAAUCCUCACAGAUAAAUGAAUUUAACAAAACUAGGCGAACAGUAAUCAAUCACCCUCUGAUAAACGUACACAAAUUAGGGGGGGAAAUACCAAAAAUCCUAAAGAACAACAAAAAGCUCCGGUGCCCAAGCUUGAUUACUGGAGAACAAACAAACAAAUAGAAAAGGAAAAAUCAGAACAAAAAAAUAAAAAAUAAACUCUAAGACACCCAAAAGCUGAAUAAUAAUACAAAAUAUCAGAAAUCGGCCACAAAAACAACUAGACGCAUUUUCUCAUCAAAAUGAGUCAAGGAAAAAACAAAUAUCCACCAGUCGAUCUAUUGUGAUUUUUACAGAAGCUAAAAACACAUUCAUCAAGAAAAUGAAAAAUAAAACAAAAAAACAAAAAACAAAAAUUUAUCCUACCUCUUAUCCUGAAUCAAAAGUUGACUCCUCCGAAAUAACAUCCAAAUAGAAUCGAAGAGAAUGAAACUUCAGUGAAACCCCAAACUCAAAUUCGCUGUCAUUUACACAGAACUCAAGAUUCCAAACCAAAACCCACACCGAUUCUUCCACAAUCAACCAAAUCGUUUCCCCAAAUCCCCAAAUGGACGGAACAAAAAUACAAAAAGAAAAAGAAAAAAAAAAGAAAGAAAAAAAAAGAAGCAAAAAACUCUAGACUAACUCAAUAAUUGUCAAGCUGUUAUUACAGAAUCUGAGUGAAACCCAUAAUACAAAUCUAAAAAACCGUCUUAAUUUACUUCACAGAUACAACAAAGAAAUGAAAAGGAAAAAAAGCUGAAAUUAGAAGGGAAAGAGAAGAAUUGAUAAAGAUAAUUAUGAUUAAGACCGUCCGUACAGAGGAAAAGAGAGCUAGAAAUGAAGUGCUUCCUCCUUCACCAACACUCGCCUGAAAACUCUUUCUUCUUCGCCGACCUCACUUUAAUUGCCAGUGAGAAACUGAGAGAUUUAUUUAUAUUCUCUUCUCAAUUGUUUUUCUCUUCCUUUUUUAUUUUUUUAUAUUGUCGAUUUCAUUUUCUCUUUAUUUAUUUAAUCCCAAAUUCCAUCUCUCUUUUCUUUUUUUUUUUUCUCUCUCUCUCUCAUUUUAGAUAUUUUAAUUAAACUAAUUUUCGUUCCUUAUUAUUAUUAUUUUCAAAUAAUAUCUAUUUGCAUAAGUUUGUGAUUUUUUCACCAUCAUUUUGUGACAUUAACUCUAAAGUCAAAUCAUUAUUUUGGUCAAUUGGAUUAUGUUAAUAACUACAUAAAGUUAAUUAAAAGUGUAGUCAAUUCAACAUAGACAAAAAUAUUGCAAAUCUUUUUUUAAAAAAAAAGUAAAAAUAAAAACAUUCUUCGAUAUUUUUCUAAUUAUUAUUUUUUAACUAUAUGACGUCAUAUAUCUUUAUUUUCUUUUCUUUCUUUUUUUUUUUGUAACAAAACACCUUUUUUCUUUCCUUUCAUUUCGCAUUAUAGUUGAAAGUAAGGAAUGAGAUUUUUUUCGGAAAUUUUUCGGAACAGCGCCGAGUAAACACAUCCAAUAUUUAUCUUUUUUUUUUACAUUAAUAAACAAAAAAUUACCAUUUCCAAAUUGUAAAAUAAUAAUAUCAAAACCUCUAAUAUUUGUUUUUUAUUUUUAUUUUUUAGAUCUCAAAGAGUGUAACAACCACAUCCCAAGAAAACCACAAAUUCAGCCAUUCAUUCAGGUGUCCUUUUCCUUCUUCUUCUUCCUUGUUUGUUAUUUCAAUUUUUUCUAUAAAAUUUUAUAUCUCUCUAUAUAUAUAAUUAAUUAAAUAGCAAUUUAAUUUAAUUUUUGUAAUUUUAUUUAUUGGAUCCCAAACAUCGAUUUGCUCGAAUUUUUUAUUUCUAUUAUUUCUAUUUUUCCCCUUUCCCGCUUUUUUUGUUCCCACUCUUCCUCUUGACGCGUGACCUCACUCUCUUUUUUUCAGGACUAUUUAUUUAAUUUUAAUCAAAUAACAAAAGAAAUUGUGUUGUAUUAAUUAGUUACUUUGAAAUUUUUAUUAUAUGGUAACAUAUUAACUAGGAAUUGAUGGAGUGCGUGCAUGAUGUAGUUCGACCAAAAUUAUGCCUUUUUUUAUAAUCACUAUUUGACAUUUAUUUCCACAUCCCAAAAUUAUUUCAAGUUCUUAACCAUCCUAAGACUACAUAGUCAAUAGUGUCAUUUAUGGCAAAUUCUAACAUUUAGCUUAUUAGUAUUUUCUCACCUCUUAGUUCUACUAUAUUAUGUGUUUAACAUUUUCAUCCAUUAUGAGAAAAAACACAUAACAAUAAUUUAUGUAUUAUUUAAAAUUUUAAAUUUACUUAGAGAUUUAGCACAUUUUCACUUUAUUAAUUUUUCAUGUAACAAAUCUAUCAUCACAUAGUGCUUUUUACAAAUAGGGAAAGAAAAGUCAACCACAUGUGAUUAAAUAUAGUUGUUCUUUUAGAUAUUGGAGAUUCAAAGUUAUAACACAUAAAAUUUAUCCGAUUUCAUAAAAAGCAAAGAUUUUUCUUAUUGAACAAUUGAGUCUUGUUUGAUUAGAAAGUAUAAAUGUUAAUAUUAAAACAAAUGGUGUUGACUUAAACAUAAGUUAAAUAAUUGUCAUAAUCUACUACUUAAUAUCUUGUCUUACUCCCUAGCCCAACAUCAAUGUCUUGUCUCCCACACUAUAUAACAUAAUUAGGCAUUUCUUAGAAUAAUUUAUUAUUAUUCUAUUUGUUUUUUUUUUUGAACAUAAAAGUUUGAAAAGAAAAGGAAAAAGGAGAAAAAGUAGUAAUUUAGAAAGAAAAGAAAAAUAGUAUUAAGAAGAUAGAGUCAAAAUGGUUGGGGUUGGGGGGAUGAUAUUGUUGAAGAAGCACUGAAAUCAAGGGAGGGUGGAGGCGGUAAAAAAGGAACCAUAGUCAAGGUUAGGUUGUCAUGAAUCCUAACUCUCCGGAGUUAACCAUGGUUAAGGCUUUAACCGAAUCCCGGCUUUCCAAGUUGUCGGUUAACAAUAACAAAAUAAGCUUUAAUUUUCUUCCCCUCUUUUUUUGUUAUUUGUUUUCCCCAUUUUUAGGUCUCUUCCAAAGAUUUGGUCAGUUCUACACACUACAACACUCCAUUCGCCAUUCAUAUCUCCCCCCAACCCUCAUUUUGUCUUUUAAUUAAAUCUCUUUUUAAUUUCUCCAUUACGCUUCAUCUCUUUUUGGAUCAACCCAUUUUUGUUAACUAAGGACCCCCCACAAAUCCAUUUUCUUCUAGUGACUACCAUUAUUCAAAACUCAUUUUAAGAUUUAAAAACAGAAAAUAAAUUUUACCAUUUUAUUAUUGGAUGAACUUGAACCACUCUAAGCAAACUACGAGGAGGUGUAUUGAGACACUAUUGUAGUAAGCUUGAGUUGUACUCUUAGAUUUGUGUAACAUGUGGUGUUGUUCAUAUGGAUUUGAAUUUGUGUUUAAUAAUACAAGUAUUUUAUUUUAGUUUUUUUUUUCGUAAAACAUGAAUUGAGAUUGUGGAGUAAAAGUCUAUAUUUUGUAAAAAAAACAAAAAAAAAAAUCAUAUUUUUUAAAAAUAAAAAAUUAACAAACAAUUUACCAACAAAAUUACUAAAAAAAACCGUUAGAAAAGAUAAAUAUUAUAUUUUUUAAAAUUUCCCUUUUAGUAUAUUUAUUAAUUUAUUCUCACUUUUUUAUUAUUCAUAAGGUUGAAAUUAAAACCACACACAAUUUGAGUUUUAGGUUCCAUACAAAUAUGCUUCUCUAACUAAAUAUAGAUUUUAUUUUUCAAUAUUUAAUUUAAUUUUGUCCAUAGAUAUUAUCUAAAUAGCGACAAAAAUUGGAAUAAUUGAUUUUGUAAUAUUGAUAAAAAAAAAAAUAUAGAUGAUGAGAAGAAGUGAGGGGGAAAGAAGGAGUAAUAAAAAGUGAAAAAGGUAAAAAGAGAAGAAAUGAUAGAGAAUAAAUGAGAAAUAAAGAAGACAUUCUGGAAAAAGGAAUCUGGCAAUGUAGGUAGAGUAGAAAAGGACUGUUUAACCACACUAUGCUGUCUUAAAAUUGACAUUUUUUAUUUUAUAAUAUACAUGAUCUUAUGAAUGAAUUUAUAUAUAAGUAUAAGUGUGUGUGUAUAUUAUGUUAGAAAUAAAAGAUAUGGAGUAUUGUUUGGUGGUUUAUAGGGAUAUAGGGACACAAAGAGAGUUGGACAUCAUUCAAAACAUUGACAAGACAACCAACUGUUACUAUUAUGUCCAACUUCACAUCACUUCAAUUCCCUUUUUUUUCUUUUUCAUUUUUACUCUUUUAUAUAUAUAUAAACACUUUCUUGUUCUUCUUCACAACACAUCAUUCAAUUGCUUCCUUCACAAACAUAAAAACCAUUAUUCAGAAUUAUAUUCUCAACCAAACUCACAAUUUUACUUUGUUUUACUUUUAUCUAAUUAUCCAACUAAUUAUCUUAAUACCCAAUAAUAUACAAAAUAGCAAUAAUAACAUUGGACCUAAAAUUGUGAACAUUAUUUAUAUAUUUGUGAACAAUUAUUUUAUUUAUAGUUGUGAACAAUUUACUCAGUUUUUUAUUUAUAGCUGCACCAAUUCGCCUAAAUUCUGUAUUUAAUUAUUUUAUUUUAGAAAAAAAAUCUAAACAAAAAAAUAUAGUUUUUCAGGUCUCUAUCUUUUUAAGCUUAUAGGUUCAAAAUUUUAUUAAAUUAACUUUUUGGAAAAUUAUUCUAAUUAGUAAAAUUGUUAAAUAUAUAUAUAUAUAUAUAAUAAAAAUUUACUUUAUAUUAUAAUUAGAUCACGAUGGACUCAAACAGAUAAAUGUGAGAAUCAAAUAGAUAAAACUGAGUUUUAAUUUAUUAUUAUAUUUGAGCUAACUUUGCAUUUGGUUAUUUUCCUUGUUAAGUUAUUUUCAAAUAAACGUAUGUUUGGAUUACAUUUUCAAGUGUUUAAUUUAAAAAAUAAGUUAUUUUGAAAAAAAAACUAACACCAAAAACAGAUUUUAAUGUGCAUUUUAAACAAUUGGUAAGAAAAAGUAUUUAAACAAAAAUGAAUUUUUUAAUCUAACAAGUUUUUUUUUAAUUGAAUCCAAAUGAACGUUGAAAUGUUUAUCUUAAAAAAUGUUGUUUAAAUUGAAUAUUAUGAUAUAAAAAUGAUUUGAGAUUUAAUUAAUAGAACCUAAAAUGUAAAAUUAGAAAUUGAUAGGAGUAAAACGUUAGAUUUAAAAUCUAAAAUAACAAAAAAAAAAAAAAAGGUUAUUAAUUGGAUGGGGAAAAUGUAUUUGAAAUGAUAUAAGAUAGUUAAAGUUGGAAGGUCUGGGAAAGAACAUGUGAGGUAAGGAUAGGGUAAGAGGAAAGGGAGAAGUGUGUGUGUGUGAUAUGGGGAUUGCUCAGGGUGAUUAUUUAAGCGUACGUAUAAUUGGGUUUAGAUUUUAGAAUAAUAAAAAGAGAAAGGAUUAUUUGAGUUCAGGGGUGUGAUGUAACUUCUCAAAAAUAGGGCCCACUAUGUGUCACCCUCAUUGACAGCCUUAUUUGAUUUGACAUCCAAUGCCCUUCCUUCCAUGCGGGCCCUUCUCCGUAUCUCUGUCUUCUUUGCCCUAAGCCCUCCUCCUCCUUCUUCUUCUUCUUCUUCUUCCUCUUCCCUUUCUCCUCUCUCUCUCUCUCUCUCUCUUAAAUAUUAUUCAAACUAUAAACAUUUUAAAUGUAACCACGGUUUAUUCUCAUUUAUUAUUAUUCAAAUCUCUUCGUUUUGGAUUAACAAUAGGAGGUGAAACAUAAAUAAAUUAAUUUCAAAAUUAAUUAUUAUAAAAUGUUUAGCAAAAUAAAAUAAGAAACAAAACUCUAGAACACAUCAAAGGGGUGUGUUUAUUAAUUAAGAAAACUGCAAGUGGGAAAAGAGAGGGAGUGGGAGUGUGGGUGAUGGUUGAUGGGUGAUGGGUUGGAACAUUGAUUGCUCACACAUGUCGACGCGUCUCCGGUGGCUGUUCCAACGCCGCCCCGCCGGCCCCGCCCAUUGCUCUUUACCCAACCAAACCUCUCUUCCUUUUUUUUUCAGUCAACUCUCCCUUUUUCUUUUUUCUUUUUUCUCUUUUAAAUAAAACAAUAUAUAUAUAUCUAUUAUAAAUGUAAUCACGUAGAUAUCCACGAUGUAUUUACCAAUAUCUUGAACCCUUGAAGGAUGAUGUAUUUAUUGCACGGUUUGCUGAUUGUCAUUUUAAUGAGACAAUUUUCUAACAUUAGGGGAGGAAUUAAGAAGUUGAAAAAUGAAAUUGUCUGAAAUGUAUCAUUAUUGUCUCAUUUAGACCCCCAUACAAAGCAAUGUGAACUGGAAGUUCAAAAGAUAAUUCAUUUACAAACCAAAUGUCAAAUGUAUUUACAGAUACAAAAAAAAUGAUCAAGUCAUGUAUUCCAGCUGCAAAUGCUCUAUCUAAAAUUGAAAUCCCAAUUCAGCACGUCGCCAAAUCUGUGUUGCGAGAAAAGCAUGGCAGACCAAUAUGUUCAAAGGAUAAAAAUCCUCAAAAAAGAAAAGUGAUCAAUAGUCGAAAUGACUUAAUUCACAAUAGAAACAUUCAAGAAGAAGUCUUGGACAUAACUAAUGGUAAAAAUGUUGAAGAGACUCAAGUAAAUAACAAUGAGAUCUCGAUAAAUUAUAUCAUGAUAGGAAAAGGAUGGAAUAGAACUGAUGUAGUUGUGGACAACAUUUUUGCAUAUAAUGUUGCACAUAAUAUCAUUCAUGAAAAUGAAGAUUCUGAACCUAAAUCUGUUGAAGAAUGUCGUAAUAGAAAGGAUUGGCCCAAGUGAAAAAAAGUCAUCCAAGCAGAAUUGAACUCAUUUUCAAAACUUGAAGUUUUUGGACCUGUAGUUCAUACACCUAAAUGGGUAAAACCUGUGGGAUUUGAAUGGGUAUUUGUGUCUAAAAGAAAUGAAAAUAAUGAGGUCACUAGAUAUAAAGCACGGCUUGUUGCAUAAGGAUUUUCGCAAAGAUCGAACAUUGAUUAUGAGGAAACAUACUCUCAUGUAGUGGAUGCUAUUACAUUAAGAUAUCUAAUUAGUCUAACUAUAUGUGAAAAGCUUGAUAUGCAUCUUAUGGAUGUAGUUACAACAUAUUUGUAUGGAUCUUUGGAAAAUGAAAUCUAUAUGAAAAUCCCUGAAAGAUUUAAGAUACAUGAAUCAUAUAAUUCAAAAUCUAGAGAAUUAUAUUCAAUCAAAUUAAACAUUGAUUUAGUUGGUUAUGCAGAUGCUGGAUAUUUAUCUAACACACAUAAAGCAAGAUCUCAAACAUGUUAUAUGUUUACAUGUGGAGGAACUACUAUAUCUUGGCGAUUUGUACAGCAAACUAUUACGACCACUUCAUCGAAUCAUGCAUAAAUUCUUGCAAUUCAUGAGGCUAAUAGAGAAUGUGUAUGGUUGAGGUCAAUAACUCAUCAUAUUCAAGAAACACGUGGUUUGUUUUUCAAUAAAAACCUACCAAAAUUGUUAUUUGAGGACAAUACUGCAUGUAUAGCACAAAUCAAAGGAGGGUAUAUAAAAGGAGAUAGAACAAAACAUAUCUCACCAAAACUCUUCUAUGCACAUGACCUUGAAGAAAAUGGUGACACCAGUAUUCAACAAAUUUCUUCAAAUGACAACUUGGCAGACUUAUUCAUAAAGGCAUUACCCACAUCAACAUUUGAAAAGUUAGUGCAUAACAUUAAAAUGCAAUGACUUAAAGAACUCAAGUGACGUAUUCACAAUGGGGAGUAGAAAUAUUGCCUUCAAGGAAUAGAAAUACUGCACUCUUUUUCCCUUGACUAUGGUUUUUCCUAUUGGGUUUUCUUAGUAAGGUUUUUAAUAAGGCCGUUAUUAAUAUAUAAAAUGAUGUACUCUUUUUCCUUCACUAGGACUUUUUCCCAUCGGAUUUUUCCCUAGUAAGGUUUUAACGAGACAUUUAUUUAAUAUAAUAUGUAUAUCUAAGGAAAAAUAUUAUAAAUGUAAUUAUAUAGAUAUCCAUAACCUAUAAGAUGUUACCAAUAUUCCUAAAAUUCUCCCUUUCUCCAUGCUGUAACUUUCAUCCCAUUGAAUUUUUUAAUGUAACUCAUACCAUGACAUAUCCUAUAAAUAGAGUUAUGUAGUGCAUUUGUAAGACACGCCACAAUUGAGUUCAAUUGUUCUCUACUUCCUCCAUUCCCUAUUGCCUCUCUUUGGUGGUUUCACUCUUCUCAUAUAGUUUCUUUCUUCUUGUUUUAUAAUAAUAUCAUUAUUAUUUCUCUUCAAAAUUUCUCCACUUUAAAUACUUCUAUUUACGUUUCUUUUUUAAACUUGGUGAUAAUGAAACUGGACUCUACAAAGCCCAUUCAAUCUUAGGCCCACAUCACCCAUCCCUUAUAUGCUUUUCUUUUCCUUCUACUAACAUCAAACACGAAGUGGGGUUCAUAGUACAAGUUCUUAACUUUCAGAUUAAUUAAGAACUUAGUUCUCUUCAAAGUUUGCCAAUUCACACUCUUUCACUCUCAAAACCUUUAUUUGAUAUACUUUUUAGUUUAAAAAAAAUUGUAAAAUGAGAUAUUAGACCAUCAACCUUUAAAAUGAUAAUUGAUACUUUAACGAUUGAAUUAUUAUUAUUGAUUAGUCAACUUAUGUAACGUUUGGAACAAACCCUCUAAAACAUUAAUAAACAAACACACAUAUAAAAUUAUUCACUAAAGAAAUUUUAUCACUUAUCCCGUCGUUGCUUGUAAUUCUCACACCCUUUAUCAAUCUAACUUCAAUCAGAAACAAACAACAAUUCUAACCCUAUGGUGAUUUUUUCUCAAUUCUAGUUGCUAUACUCUUCAUUCAAUCUUCAAAUUCUAGUCCUCUAUAAUUUUUAAGAAGUUAUUUAAAACUAAUUUUUAAAGACAAUUUCCACAAUUUUUAAAGGAAAUGAUCGUAGAGACUCGAUCAUUUUUUAGAAAAACAAAACUAUUUUAAGACUUGGUGAAAUUAAUGGAUUGAAGGGUUUUAAGAUAUACCUUGUUAUGUUGGGAUAAAUAUCAAAUAUGUUUGAAACAUUGUGUUUGCUUUCAAUUCCAAUUUGACUUUAAUUUUUAUACUAUCAAUAUAAUUUUCAGUAAAAUAAGAAAUAAACAAUGAAUAGAUACGAUUAUUGUUAAUAAAUAAGUACUUUUGAUUAAUUGUAUUUUUCUAUGUUUAUUAUAAGAACCUUACCCAAUCAUUAACUCAACUAAUGAAAGAAACAAUAAAGUCUCGUUUCAUCAUUAGAUGAAUCUAAGGUUCACUAUUGGGAUAUCUAUUUUCUCAUCGAAACCUUAGGACGUAAUUUUCUUUAAAAACCUUCUUCAACUUAAUCAAGACAACAAUAAUUCUCUAUAAUAAUCUUAUCUUAUCAACUCUAGGAUAAACCCAAUUAGUCCUCAAAACACUGUACUAUCAACAACCAAAAAAAAAAAAAAGUCAAAACUUCAAAUUUUCAAAAUUUCAAGUUAAGUUAGGGUAAAAUUAAAUAAAAAUAGUUCAAACAAUGACAGGUUGCAUAGAUUAAAAAAAUAAUGUUUUUUUAUUAGUUAUUUAAAUGAACAUUAUUUAAUAAAGAUUUGGUUUGGGUUUAAACAAGUUUAGGUGAAGCCAACAAAAUGAGAAAGGUAGGGAUUAAGACCCACCAUAUGUAUUUGGUUUAGGCCACAUUAUCCCUUCUUAUCAAUUUAAACUUUAAAGAGUAAGAGAAUCGACGAUUGAGUUGUAUUUGAUUUUUAAAAAGACAUUUUACUUCCAUUACAUAAUUUUUUUUCUUCAAUAUACUAAUUUCAUUUUGAACUUUUAAGCUUGAGAUUAUAUAUCUGCUAAAUAGGUUACUUUGUUUUCUACUUUUCACGAGUUCAACAAUGGCUGGAAUCACUUAUUUAGUAUAUAUUCAACUUUAAUUUAAAAAUAAAUUUUAACAAACUAAAACGAUAAUAAUAUUAUGUGAAGCUAUGAAUGAAAAAACAUCACGAAACCUAUCCCCUUUUAGUAAAACAACUUGUGGUGGGAGGAUUUGAACUUUCAACUUUCUUAACUAGAAGAAAGAAAGAGAGAGCAAAAUAACACUAUAUUGGAAAAAAAAAUGUACAUCAAUCAUCAACUAGUUGAAUCAAUAUCAAGAUAUUUCCAUGGGAAAAAUGGCCCUAACAUAAUGACCCUCAAUGAAAAUCAAUUGUUUAUAGAAAAUCAAUCUAGCUUAAUGUAUAUUGGUCAAUUGUCCCAUCCAACCAUUCCCAAAUCAAAUUGCUUGUAUGUUUCCAAAAGCUUGCCUUUCUAAUGAGUGAAGAGGAAACAAUAAUUAUUAGCAUCACUCCUUUGAUUUAAGUUCACGAUUCUCUAUUUGCAUUAAAAGCUUCAUAUUAUGUUGGGUAAGAUAUCAAUAAGCUUAAAAUCAUGUAUUUGAUUUCACUUUUUCCCACAUAUGCUCAAUUUAAAUAAAUAAACAGGUAAUAUACAUCAAGCCUUUUUCGUUAAAGUUAAUGUAUUAUUUUGAUCAUCUAUACUUCAAUUUUAGUUUCUAUACUUAGAAUUGAAUUCUAAAUUUGGAUUAAUCCAAAUGUUAGUUCAUUUUACACUUUGAUUUUAGCCUUUGUACUAUAAAUUUUGAGAACAUAGACACAUUAUAAUUUUUAAUGCAAAUUAUGUGUAUUAAUAUAUAAGUAUAAUUUUAAGAGAAAACAAAAACAUGAAGGAAAAAAAAGGAUAAUCUAAUAAUCAAACGCUAUAAGCUUCAAAUUUAGUGCAAAAUAAAUUAUUAAAAAAUGUCUAACAAACACUUGGAAAUUUCAAAUUAAACUUAACUUUCCAAAUAAAUUAGUUGAAAAAGAUUCUAAAUUUAAAUAGAAGGUAAAACAUGAAGCAAAAUGUCAAGAACAAACCAUGAGUCCAAUCAUGGUUUUCAUGUUCUACUAAAUUUCAACAAAAACAACCCACCAACUUCAUAACUUGAAACCUAAUAAUUAAUAAUGUAAUUUAGGAAUUACUCGUCGACUUUCUUUCCAAACCCAAUAAAGAAAUGAAAAAUAGCUUUAAGAUAUUGGAGUAGAGAAGAAGAAUUGAUAGAGAUAUUAAUUGUGAUAAAGAAUCAUGUAACCUCCUCCUUUAAUUCAAUAUCAUUGCCCAAGAACAAAAGACAAUUACAAUUAUUUCUAAGAUGCAUAGGUCUAAGUUCUGAUCUGAACUCAGAGUCUCCUUUAGUUUAGUCUUAGUUUGUGUGUUUUCAAUAAGAAAACGGAUGAGUGUUCAGAUUUUUCUAUUAUCAAUAGCCUUCAAACAGAAGUCCAAAGGCUUACCUUCCCCCAUGGCCCUUUGCA
rnacentral:lncRNA from 1 species